UACGGAGGGUGCGAGCGUUGUCCGGAAUCACUGGGCGUAAAGGGCGCGUAGGCGGCUUCUCAAGCGUGUGGUGAAAGUCCGGGGCUCAACCCCGGAUCGGCCCGUGCGGACUGGGGAGCUCGAGUUCUGUAGAGGCGGGUGGAAUUCCGGGUGUAGCGGUGGAAUGCGUAGAGAUCCGGAAGAACACCGGUGGCGAAGGCGGCCCGCUGGGCAGAGACUGACGCUGAGGCGCGACAGCGUGGGGAG
rnacentral:rRNA from 1 species